rnacentral:lncRNA from 1 species
AGUUCUCGACCCCAGACUCUCUACUAGAUGAAACCAUGGAAAGAAACCAAGGUGAAGAUAACUCGAAAAGAGAGAAGACAGAGAAAAAAAUCUCAAGAAGGGGGAUGACGAUGAUCGAUGAGGAGGAAGAAGACUGACGACGAUGAAGAUCGACUAGAAAGGAGUUGGUCGACUGCAAUGAAUCCUAAGCCUCAGGUACCCUAAGCUCCCUGCU